rnacentral:rRNA from 1 species
UGCGAGUUGAAUGGGAUACCUAAAGUUCCCAUAUGCAAACUGCUCAGUAACACAUGAUCAACUUACCCUAUAGAGAAAAAUAACCUCGGGAAACUGAGGAUAAUAUUUCAUAAUUGAAUUGGCUUGGAAAAGUUUUUCAAUGAAAAGGAUAAAAAAAAUGGUUUUUAUCUGCUAUAGGAUAGGAUCGUGUUCGAUUAUGGUUGUUGGUGAGAUAAUGGCUCACCAAGCCGAUAAUCGAUAGGGGCCGUGAGAGCGGGAGCCCCGAGAUGGGUACUGAGACAACGACCCAGGCCUUACGAGGCGCAGCAGGCGCGGAACCUCCGCAAUACACGAAAGUGUGACGGGGUUACCCAAAGUGUUCAAUAGAACUGUGGUAGGUGAGUAAUGUUCCCUACUAGAAAGGAGAGGGCAAGGCUGGUGCCAGCCGCCGCGGUAAAACCAGCUCUUCAAGUGGUCGGGAUAAUUAUUGGGCUUAAAGUGUCCGUAGCCGGUUUAGUUAGUUCCUGGUAAAAUCGGGUAGCUUAACUAUCUGCAUGCUAGGAAUACUGCUAUACUAGAGGGCGGGAGAGGUCUGAGGUACUACAGGGGUAGGGGUGAAAUCUUAUAAUCCUUGUAGGACACCAGUGGCGAAGCGUCAGACUGGAACGCGCCUGAC